UACGUAGGGUGCAAGCGUUAAUCGGAAUUACUGGGCGCAAAGCGUGCGCAGGCGGUUGUGCAAGUCCGGUGUGAAAUCCCCGGGCUUAACCUGGGAAUGGCAUUGGUGACUGCACGGCUAGAGUGUGUCAGAGGGGGGUAGAAUUCCACGUGUAGCAGUGAAAUGCGUAGAUAUGUGGAGGAAUACCGAUGGCGAAGGCAGCCCCCUGGGAUAACACUGACGCUCAUGCACGAAAGCGUGGGGAGCAAACAGG
rnacentral:rRNA from 1 species